UAAAAAAUAAAACAUCAACAGAAUGAAGCUUCAUCUCCUGCAAAACAAGCACAUUAGGUUUGCAGUGGAGGAUCAAACGUGUUAGUGUCCUUUUUUGUCGCAUCCUUCCCAACCCCCAUGCAUUUCAGGAGAUUACAAACAUUGCAACUGGAAGCCCCUGCCCCUCCUAGUGGUGACUAUGGCACCAAUAGCAAGGGGGUUACACGAGAGGCCUGCAACAAGCUCCUUGGCUUCCUUCUGCAGCCUCAAGCGCCUCCUCCUCGGCCUCAGGUUCGGUGGUGCAGGCACAUCCGGGAAGACUCCUUCUACUAGGUGAAUCUCGCCCUUGAACUUCACCUUCAUACCACUCAGCAUACCAGCCACCCGUUCCCGUACAAGGCCUUUUUGUGGGCCUUAAUAGACCAAUUAGGAGCAUUCAGAGGGAGGUCCUCAUUCGACGAGUCCAAAUACUCUGUGACCAAAACAAGAGGGGCACAGGGGAUGUCUGGGAUGAUGAAGCAUUCCCAAGCUUUGCUAAACUCCCACUGAGACAGAGACAUCCCCACGACAUCAUCAAGAACAUUAACAAGUUUAGACAUCUAUUUCCUCAUAAAUGUUCAUAAUGGUGACCAUGGAUGCCAUAGAAGAGCUGUGGAUAGAGCGUACGAUUCUGAAUAGAAGAAGAUGAAGAGGACAUCAAGACAAAAGGUCCCAAAACAGAAGGAUAGGGCCAAGGUCAGGGUUAGGAGGAGAAGAAAUAGGAUAAUGGAAAGGUAUCAAUUGCAACUGCACCAUCGUCGUCGAAAGGAUAGGAAGAUCUCGCUCCUUUUCAACGAAAUCCAUCUCAUCAUUUACUAAAAGGUAGGCCAUAGGAUCUAGGCUGGGAGUAGGAGAGAGACAGUCAUCCCAGGAUCCAACUCAAUUCUGCAAGCAAGAAUAGAGAUAUCACUACCUGGCGCCUCAUUAUCAGGAAAAGCCACACUAUCAACAUCUUCAUAGUCAUCCACCCAUCGGGGGAGAUAAAUCGUCACCAAGUCUAGCGACUACCGUACAAUCAGGAUCAACCACAGUACGAUUU
rnacentral:lncRNA from 1 species